ensembl:lncRNA
GUCUGUCAUGCUGGUGGGGCCGCUGCUGUCCCUUGAAGGAUGGUGGAGGGGAUGGAGAGGGCAGUGGAGGGGGUUGGGGGCGCCACUCCGUUCCCUGAAGGAUCGUGGAGGGGAAUGGGAGGGUGGUGACGGUGCCUGGGGAGCUGGGGGGCUGCUGGAGCGGUCGCGCUUCCCCCAGGCAGUGGUUGUCCGUCUGUUGGACAUUUUCCCCAAGUCUGCACUCUGCGGGGAUUGCUUCCCUCCCCUGAUGGAUGGUGGAGGGGAGGGGGAAGGCAGAGGUGGUGCUGGGAGGGGCUGAGGGCUGCUGGGCCUCUCAGGCUUCCCUGAGGCAGCGGUUGUCUGGGUGCUGGACGAUGCCCCGAGCCGACACCCUGAGGGGACCGCUCCCGUCCCCUGAAGGAUGGUGGAGGAGGAGGAGGCAGAGGUCGGGGGGGCGGCGUUGGUGGCCGGGGGCUGCUGGGCCUGUUGCUCAUCUGCCGGGGAGCCGUUAUUUCAGUGCCGGCCGAUGACCGCAAGCCUCCACCCGGGCAGGUUCCUUCCGUCCCCUGAAGGAUGGUGGAGGGGACGGGGGGGUGGUGUUGAUGCCCGGGGGGGCCGGGGGCUGCUGGGCCUGUCGCUCAUCUGCUGGGGAGCCGUUGUUUCAGUGCUGGCCAAUGACUGCGAGCCUCUACCCCGGGCAGGUUCCUUCCGUCCCCUGAAGGAUGGUGGAGGGGGACGGGGGGGUGGUGUUGAUGCCCGGGGGGGCCGGGGGCUGCUGGGCCUGUCGCUCAUCUGCUGGGGAGCCGUUGUUUCAGUGCUGGCCAAUGACUGCGAGCCUCUACCCCGGGCAGGUUCCUUCCGUCCCCUGAAGGAUGGUGGAGGGGGACGGGGGGUGGUGUUGAUGCCCGGGGGGGCCGGGGGCUGCUGGGCCUGUCGCUCAUCUGCUGGGGAGCCGUUGUUUCAGUGCUGGCCAAUGACUGCGAGCCUCUACCCCGGGCAGGUUCCUUCCGUCCCCUGAAGGAUGGUGGAGGGGGACGGGGGGGCUGUGCUGAUGCCCGGUGGGUCUGGGGGCUGCUGGGCCUGUUGCGCAUCCCCCGGGAUGUGGAGCCCAGGCCGGUGGGCCGCGGGGGCCGAGGUGGGGGCAGCUGAGCCUGGCUGCUGUCCAGCCUGGCAGGGGCUGCUCUGGUGGUGUCCUGCAGCAGGUGGGCAGGUCGUCCCCACACAGGUGGUUGCCACCAUGUCUGUCUUUUGGGCCCCUCGAGGUGGGCAGGCUGUUCAUCUGACUCUGAACUGGAGCUGCUGCUAUCAUCCCGGGCUUCAUCAGCUGCAGCGAGGCGC